rnacentral:rRNA from 1 species
AUUGAACGCUAGCGGCAUGCCUAACACAUGCAAGUCGAACGGCUUGCCGAACGCGUGCGUGAUGUAUCUGUAUGUGCCCAGUCGCGGGGGAUAAGUACGCGUACGCGAAGCUAAUACUACAUCCUAUUGGUGCGGCAUAUAUCGGAUUAGCUUGUUGGUGGGGUAACGGCUCACCAAGGCGACGAUCCGUAGCUGGUUUGAGAGGACGACCAGCCACACUGGGACUGAGACACGGCCCAGACUCCUACGGGAGGCAGCAGUGGGGAAUUUUGGACAAUGGGGGAAACCCUGAUCCAGCCAUGCCGCGUGUACGAAGAAGGCCUUCGGGUUGUAAAGCACUUUUGGCAGGGAAGCGGUACCUGCAGAAGAAGCACCGGCUAACUACGUGCCAGCAGCCGCGGUAAUUC